UUAGUCAAUGCUCGCAAGAGUGAACUAGCUAACUGAAAUCAAAGGUGUGUCACCUUUGAUAAGGUAAGGGAAAAGAAAAGAUACUACCUUACUAUUAGUGUCGUCCAAGUACUCGUGCCAGAAGACUCGGUAAGGCGAGAGACGCAAACGUUAGUCGUCUUGAUCAGGCGUAAAGGGUUUGUAGGCGGCUUUAAGAAUGGAUUUCUUCUAAAUUACACUCUUAUUUAAGAUCAUUACUUAAGAACAUGGAAGGAAAAAAUCAAUUAAAGCUAGAAUCAAAUAGAGGUCAAAUUAAAUAAUACUUGGUGUAAGAUUGGUAUCUUUAAAAACCAAGCGGAAUACUAACGGCGAAGGCUUUUUUCCAUUAAUGAUUGACGCUGAGAAACUAAGGUGAGGACAGAAAAAAGGAUUAGAGACCCUCGUAUCCCUCACUGUCAACGAUGAAUGGUAGUUACUAGAUAAAUAAUAAAAUAAAAUAUUUCUAGAGACGAUGUUAACACGAAAACCAUUCCGCCUUGUGAGUACGACUGCAAAGUUGAAAACAAAAAAAUUAGUCGGUUUCGGAGCAAACGAAGUGAAGCAUGUUAUUUAAUG
rnacentral:rRNA from 1 species